GCACCAAACGUAGAUAAAUACAUAGUAGAAACCCGCCACAAGUUAGCGGUACAAGUAUGAUUUAGACGAUGCCUUCUCAUGAGAAUAAAUCGACAGCCUCCCGACGUUACUUGCGUUAACUCGGGCGUUACACCAAAUUUGGUCGCAACGACUUUUAUAUGUAGGAAUAAGACCUGGCAAGCGCCUCGUCGAUUAUUAAAUCUCGACCCGCAAUUAGGCAAAUACGACCUCUUCGUCGUUGUAAGAAUAAUAGGGAGUAGGCCAAAAUGAUCUCUCCCCCGCCGUAGGAAUAAUAGAGCUAGAAAAGAAAAAAAAAGCUCAGAGUAGAUACAACUUAUGAGCAAUUGCUCUUGUUCAUGAACUUGUUAGCGCAUCAGAUUAUAUGCCAACCAU
rnacentral:lncRNA from 1 species